AUGGAGGGAGGCGAGGACCCGCCCACGCGCCUCAUUGGCAACUUCCUCCGGAAGCAGAGGGCGUCCGGCGCAAAGCCGUCGCUCGACCUCGACCCGGAGAUGGAGGAGCUCGGGAGGCCGUCGCACGGCGCUCGGCGUGUCUCCUUCGAGGACGAACACCAAAAACACAUCUCCUUCGACUCCGACUCCAACUCUGACUCUGACGCGGAGGGCAGCGGUAGGCGCGCCGACGAGAUGGUACGCUGCAAAUCUACCUCCACGGGAAAGGGACCGUUAUUGCGAGCCCAGACGCGCUCCCGGCUCAUGGACCCGCCGCCGGCGCCACCCGCGGCAGCUCCUGCCAUCGACAAGAAGCACAAGUCGUCCGCCUCACGGUCCCCUAAGCCCAGCCAGUCUCCCGCAUGGCGCUGGUCGGGUCCGAUGGACGGGGAGGAGGAGGACCCAUUCGUGGACGAGGACAUCCCCGACGACUUCAACUUGAAGAGUGGCAAGCUGGGCGCUCUCACCAUCUUGCAGUGGGUCAGCUUGGUGCUCCUCGUCGGGGCGUUGGUUUGCAGUGUCACCAUAAGGAUCUUGUCCAGGAAGAAGGUGUGGGAGCUGCAGCUCUGGAAGUGGGAGCUCCUCGCGCUCGCGCUCGUCUGCGGCCGUCUCGUCUCCGGGUGGGCCAUCCGGAUCGCCAUGUUCUGCGUGGGGCGCAACUUGUUGCUGCGCAAGCGCGUGCUCUACUUCGUCUACGGCGUCCGCAGCGCCGUGCAGAACACGCUCUGGCUUGGCCUCGUUCUCGCGGCCUGGCAUUUCUUGUUUGACGACAAGUGCCAACUCGCGCACAUGGUGGUGGUGUCCUAUGUUAUGAAGAUACUAUUCUGCUUGCUCGUCGCCACCCUCAUCCGGCUCGUCAAGACGCUGCUGCUCAAGGUGCUCGCCUCGUCCUUCCAUGUCUCCACCUACUUUGACCGGAUUCAAGCGUCAUUGUUCAACCAAUAUGUCACUGAGACGCUCUCGGGGCCGCAACUAGUUGAAGAACAAGGCCCCAUGUUUGCUGAGCCGAGUGAUCUCCAUGCCGCGAUGCCAACCAAGAAUCUAUCGGGGCUAAGGAGCUUUCCGCCAUCGGUUUCAAUGUCUAAGCAGCAGGGCCAAGGAAGCAAGCAACUAUCCAAGGAGAAAAGACAGCAUCAGAUUGAUGAAGGGAUAAGCAUUGACAAGCUCCAUAAGCUCAAUCGGAGCAACGUCUCAGCCUGGAACAUGAAAAGGUUGAUGAAGAUUAUUCGGUCUGGGACGCUCACCACUAUAGAUGAGCAGAUAAAGCAGGCAACAGGAGAAGGGGAUUUGUCAGCGACACAUAUUCGCAGCGAAUACGAGUCACAGAUGGCCGCAAAGAAGAUCUUCCAUAACGUAGCCAAGCAUCGAUCCAAGUACAUAUACUUAGCAGACUUGAUGCACUUCAUGAGGCAGGAGGAAGCCAUCAAAGCAAUGCAUCUUUUCGAAGGAGGACAAGAGUACAAUAGGAUCAGCAAGAGGUCUCUAAAAAACUGGAUGGUGAAUGCAUUUAGAGAGCGCAAAGCCCUUGCUCUAACACUUAAUGAUACAAAAGUUGCAGUAUCCAAGCUCAACCAGAUGACUAAUGUAGUUGGUGGCAUCAUCGUGUUUGUUCUCUGGCUCCUUAUUCUUGGCAUAGCGACAACGAAUUUACUUGUCUUCCUCAGUUCACCAUUUUUGGUGGCAGUUAUUGUAUUUGGAGACACUUUGAAGGCAGUUUUUGAGGCAAUUGUUUUCUUAUUUGUGAUGCAUCCUUUUGAUGUUGGUGACCGCUGUGAAAUCGAGGAAGUUCAGGUUGUUGUCGAGGAAAUGAAUAUCUUGACAACAGUCUUCCUUCGAUAUGACAACCUGAAGAUAUAUUAUCCAAACAAUAUACUGGCCACCAUACCGAUUAUGAAUUUUUACAGGAGUCCAGACAUGGGAGAAGGAAUUGACUUCUAUAUUCACGUUGCCACGCCGGUAGCGAAACUAGCACUCAUGAAAGAAAGAAUUCUACGUUACAUCAACAACAAGAAAGAGCAUUGGUACCCGGGGGCGAUGGUUGUCCUCCGGGAUGUAGAUGAGACCAACAAGCUAAAAGUAUCCAUAUGGCUCUGUCACACGCUCAACUUCCAGGACAUGGGGAUGAGGUACGUGAGGAGGGAGCUGGUGCUCCAGGAGAUGAUCAAAGUUCUCAAGGACCUGGACAUUGAGUAUCGGAUGCUACCACUGGACGUGAAUGUGCGGAAUGCGCCUCCUAUUGAAUCCACAAGGAUGCCGACAACAUGGAAUUAUUCCUGA
rnacentral:rRNA from 1 species